rnacentral:lncRNA from 1 species
UACUAUUAGGAGGGGAAAAAAACACACAAAGAAAAACCUGGCUGACACAGAAGGCAGGCAAAUUUCAUUAUCUCCCAUAAUUUCUGUUUCAGAACUGAAGAAGCGCUUGAGUAACUGGAAGCUUAUUUGGUUUUCCUAAUUAUAUCAGCUAUUUGGAUCACAUUCAGAAAGUUAUCAAAUCCAGACUAUUUUGAAAAGUGUGUUGGAGAGAUUUUUUAUUGGAAACUUCCUGUCGGCCAUUCCUUCCUACUUGGAAAAAGAAAGGAUACUUCGGGUGUGCUGUCCCUGCUGGUCAUGCUGGAGCAAAGCAUUUCGGUUUAUUUAUCCUCUUUACUGGCUUUCUAAAUAAAUACGAGUUGUCAUCUUCAUGCUUGCCAUCAGUCUACAUCAUAAGCUACAAAAUCAGGUGUGGAGUAUUAGUACCCCUGCCUUUUUUCUUCUGACUUCAGCCCAACUGCUGCAUGAUGUGGUGAUUCCCUGAAAGCUCUGGUUUUUGGACUCAAAUGGAUAGUGCCCUGCAGUUCAAUCCUGACACUGGAGAGAUCGCUCCCUUUGCCAACAACCAUCUUAAAACGAGUCAAGAAACACAUGGCUUUGAAUGCCCUUCCAGUGGAACCAGAGCAAGAGAAAGAGCUACUGAACCUGGAUAAGAACGAGCUUCCUCAUGGUGCCAGGAUUUUCAAGAAUUCCAGUAUUUUUCCUAUCUCCCACCAGGAAUGAAAGAUCUUUUUAAAACUUGGAUGAAAAUCUCGAAAAUAAAUUCAAGAUGAGGCCAAACUAAAUAUUUUAC